GUCCUUGUCAAAAGCAUUUCAAAUUUAUAAAUGAAAAAUAUUCUUUACUUGUACAAAAGUCUUUAUAGCUCUGACAAAAUUUUUUUUAACAUGACCAGGAUGGCCUAUAGCUUCACCACUGCAAGUCCCGAACUAUGUUUGGCAUUGCUUUAUAUAUAUUUGCUAUCAGUAUCCAUAAUGUUAAUUUGUUUGUUUGCUUGCUUGGAAUCAAAGC